UGGGGAAUUUUGGACAAUGGGCGAAAGCCUGAUCCAGCAAUGCCGCGUGUGUGAAGAAGGCCUUCGGGUUGUAAAGCACUUUUGUCCGGAAAGAAAUCCUUGGCUCUAAUACAGUCGGGGGAUGACGGUACCGGAAGAAUAAGCACCGGCUAACUACGUGCCAGCAGCCGCGGUAAUACGUAGGGUGCAAGCGUUAAUCGGAAUUACUGGGCGUAAAGCGUGCGCAGGCGGUUUGCUAAGACCGAUGUGAAAUCCCCGGGCUCAACCUGGGAACUGCAUUGGUGACUGGCAGGCUAGACGUAUGGCAGAGGGGGGUAGAAUUCCACGUGUAGCAGUGAAAUGCGUAGAGAUGGUGGAGGAAUACCGAUGGCGAAGGCAGCCCCCUGGGCCAAUACUGACGCUCAUGCACGAAAGCGUGGGGAGCAAAGCAGGAUUAGAUACCCUGGUAGUCCACGCCCAUAAA
rnacentral:rRNA from 1 species